UACGUAGGGUGCAAGCGUUGUCCGGAAUUAUUGGGCGUAAAGAGCUCGUAGGCGGUCUGUCGCGUCGGCUGUGAAAACUCGGGGCUCAACUCCGAGCUUGCAGUCGAUACGGGCAGGCUAGAGUUCGGCAGGGGAGACUGGAAUUCCUGGUGUAGCGGUGAAAUGCGCAGAUAUCGGGAGGAACACCGGUGGCGAAGGCGGUUCUCUGGGCCUGUACUGACGCUGAGGAGCGAAAGCGUGGGGAGCGAACAGG
rnacentral:rRNA from 1 species